rnacentral:rRNA from 1 species
GACGACGCUGGCGGCGUGGAUUAGGCAUGCAAGUCGAACGGUAUCAUCCUUUCGGGGGUGAGAGAGUGGCGAACUGGUGAGUAACACGUAGGUUAUCUACCUCAAGACGGGGACAACCCAGGGAAACUUGGGCUAAUACCGGAUGUGAGCAACUUUUAGUUGUUUGAAAGGUGGCGUAAGCUGUCGCUUGGGGAUGAGCCUGCGUCCUAUUAGUUAGUUGGUGAGGUAACGGCUCACCUAGGCAAUGAUAGGUAGGCGGCCUUAACGGGUGGUCGCCCACACUGGGAUUGAGAUACGGCCCAGACUCCUACGGGAGGCAGCAGUCGAGAAUAGUCUACAAUGGUCGGAAGACUGAUAGUGCGACGCCGCGUGAACGAUGAAUCCCUUCGGGGUGUAAAGUUCUUUUAUAUGUGAGCAGUGCUCCUUAUAUUAACAGUAUGGGGAGAGAGAUAUUAGCAUAUGAAUAAGCAACGGCUAACUCCGUG